ensembl:misc_RNA
GGAAAAUUCUUUAUGUUGAAUCGACAUCUGUUUCUCUACAAUUUGCACUCAUUGGAGCCAUACAGAAUAAAACGUCUAAACAUCUAAUGCUGCUUCCACAAAUAUUUGAGCACUGCUAACACAUUUCCUUCUUCCACUCAUUCCACAAGGCUUCUUUUCUUCCAACUAAAUAUGCCCGGUUAUUUUAAACAGGGAGGCAGUGUGGGGUAGUGGAAAGAACGCCAGCUUUGGAGCCAGAACGCAU